UGCCAGCGACAAGUUGGAGGAAGGAGAGGAUGACGUCAAGUCAUCAUGGCCUUUAUGCCUAGGGCCACACACGUGCAACAAUGGCCGGUACAGACGGAGGCAAUGCCGAGAGGCGGAGCAAACCCGNGAAAACCGGUCCCAGUUCGGAUUGAGGUCUGCAACUCGACCUCAUGAAGUCGGAAUCGCUAGUAAUCGCAUAUCAGAACGAUGCGGUGAAUACGUUCCCGGGCCUUGUACACACCGCCCGUCACACCACGAAAGUUUGUUGUACCCGAAGUCGGUGCCUUAACCUCGCAAGAGGAGAGAGCCGCCCAAGGUAUGGCCGAUGAUUGGGGUGAAGUCGUAACAAGGUAGCCGUAGGGGAACCUGCGGCUGGAUCACCUCCUUUCUAG
rnacentral:rRNA from 1 species